AACGAACGCUGGCGGCGUGCCUAACACAUGCAAGUCGGGGGAGAAAGGAGCUUCGGGCUCCUGAGUAAACCGGCGCACGGGUGAGUAACACGCAGGUAACGUACCCUUGAGUCUGGGAUAACCAGUCGAAAGAUUGGCUAAUACCAGAUACGACCCUUGGGACCUUGGUCUCGAAGGUGAAAGAUGGCCUCUAUUUAUAAGCUAUCACUCAUGGAUCGGCCUGCGCGACCAUUAGCUAGUUGGUGAGGUAACGGCUCACCAAGGCUGAGAUGGUUAGCUGGUCUGAGAGGAUGACCAGCCAC
rnacentral:rRNA from 1 species